AUUGAACGCUGGCGGCAUGCCUAACACAUGCAAGUCGAACGGUAACGGGCCCUUCGGGGUGCUGACGAGUGGCGGACGGGUGAGUAAUGCUUAGGAAUCUGCCUAGUAGUGGGGGAUAACCCGGGGAAACUCGGGCUAAUACCGCAUACGCCCUACGGGGGAAAGGCGGGGACGUUUCGGGCCGUCGCGCUAUUAGAUGAGCCUAAGUCCGAUUAGCUAGUUGGUAGGGUAAGUGGCCUACCAAGGCGACGAUCGGAGCUGGUCUGAGAGGACGACCAGCCACACUGGGACUGAGACACGGCCCA
rnacentral:rRNA from 1 species